rnacentral:misc_RNA from 1 species
AGCAGCCGCGGUAAUUCCAGCUCCAAUAGCGUAUAUUAAAGUUGUUGCAGUUAAAAGCUCGUAGUUGAAUUUCGGGAUCAUCAGGUUGGUCGUGCCUCUGGUAUGUACUGAUCUCGAUGGUUCCUCCUUCUUGAAGAACCGUAAUGCCAUUAAUUUGGUGUUGCGGGGAAACAGGACUGUUACUUUGAAAAAUUAGAGUGUUUAAAGCAGGCAAUCGCUUGAAUACAUUAGCAUGGAAUAAUGAAAUAGGACGUUCGAUCCUAUUUUGUUGGUUUCUAGGAUUGACGUAAUGAUUAAUAGGGAUAGUUGGGGGCAUUAGUAUUCAAUUGUCAGAGGUGAAAUUCUUGGAUUUAUUGAAGACUAACUACUGCGAAAGCAUUUGCCAAGGAUGUUUUCAUUAAUCAAGAACGAAAGUUAGGGAUCGAAGACGAUCAGAUACCGUCGUAGUCUUAACCAUAAACUAUGCCGACUAGGGAUCGGAUGAUGUUAAUUUUUAAUGUACUCAUUCGGCG